AAAUUGACGGGGGCCCGCACAAGCGGUGGAGCAUGUGGUUUAAUCGAAGCAACGCGAAGAACCUUUACCAGGUCUUGACAUCCCGAUGCUAUUUCUAGAGAUAGAAAGUUACUUCGGUACAUCGGUGACAGGUGGUGCAUGGUUGUCGUCAGCUCGUGUCGUGAGAUGUUGGGUUAAGUCCCGCAACGAGCGCAACCCCUAUUGUUAGUUGCCAUCAUUCAGUUGGGCACUCUAGCGAGACUGCCGGUAAUAAACCGGAGGAAGGUGGGGAUGACGUCAAAUCAUCAUGCCCCUUAUGACCUGGGCUACACACGUGCUACAAUGGUUGGUACAACGAGUUGCGAGUCGGUGACGGCGAGCUAAUCUCUUAAAGCCAAUCUCAGUUCGGAUUGUAGGCUGCAACUCGCCUACAUGAAGUCGGAAUCGCUAGUAAUCGCGGAUCAGCACGCCGCGGUGAAUACGUUCCCGGGCCUU
rnacentral:rRNA from 1 species